GUAAGGCCCUGCAGGACAAUAAACGUUUGGGGGGCACUGAGUAAUGUAGCCAUUUCUGACCCAGCAGCCAAGAAAAUGUGAGCCGAUUUGCUGCUACUGGGAAGAGGACAGCCUCAGCUGUGUUCCUGGGAGAGCAGAUUAACUUCACCACAGUGGACCCAGGCGACCAAACAAGCCAAAAUGGACGAUAACAUGGAUUCAAAAUCCAUUCUAGAAGAACUUCUUCUCAAAAGGUCACAGCAAAAGAAGAAAAUGUCACCAAAUAAUUACAAAGAGCGGCUUUUUGUUUUGACUAAAACAAACCUUUCUUACUAUGAAUAUGACAAAAUGAAAAGAGGAAGUAGAAAAGGAUCAAUUGAAAUUAAGAAAAUCAGGUGUGUGGAGAAAGUCAAUCUCGAGGAGCAGACACCUGUGGAGAGACAGUACCCAUUUCAGAUUGUCUAUAAAGAUGGACUUCUCUAUGUCUAUGCAUCAAAUGAAGAAAGCCGCAGUCAAUGGUUGAAAGCAUUACAAAAAGAGAUAAGGGGCAACCCCCACCUGCUGAUCAAGUACCACAGUGGGUUCUUCGUGGAUGGGAAGUUCCUGUGCUGCCAGCAGAGUUGCAAAGCGGCCCCAGGAUGUACCCUCUGGGAAGCAUAUGCUGAUCUGCACAUUGCUGUCAAUGAAGAGAAACACAGAGCUCCCUUUUUCCCAGAAAGGGUGCUAAAGAUUCCUCGGGCAGUUCCUAUUCUCAAAAUGGAUGCACCAUCUUCAAGUAUUACUCUACCUCAAUAUGACGUUGAUGCAAAGAAAAACUUCAGUUCCCAGCCAAAUGUCAACAUGCGAUAUAUUCCAAGGGAAGACUGCCCUGACUGGUGGCAAGUAAGAAAACUGAAAAGCAAAUGCCUCACUGUACCAAUGAUACAGCCCCAAGGCCAUAUGGAAUUUGAAAACCUCAGUGAAGAUGUUGCAUGCAGUUAUCAGAUGGAAAGAAAUAUUGUAAAUCACAGCACCUCAAAGAUAUCAUGGGGGUUCCCUGAGUCAAGUUCAUCUGAAGAAGAAGAAAACCUGGAUGAUUAUGAUUGGUUUGCAGGUAACAUCUCCAGGUCACAAUCUGAGCAAUUACUGAGACAAAAGGGAAAAGAAGGUGCAUUUAUGGUUAGAAAUUCCAGCCAGGUGGGAAUGUACACGGUGUCCUUAUUUAGUAAGGCUGUGAAUGAUAAAAAAGGAACUGUCAAACAUUACCAUGUGCAUACAAAUGCUGAAAAUAAAUUAUACCUGGCAGAAAACUACUGUUUUGAUUCCAUACCAAAGCUUAUUCAUUAUCAUCAACACAAUUCAGCAGGCAUGAUUACAAGGCUCCGCCACCCUGUGUCAACCAAGGCCAACAAGGUCCCAGUCUCUGUGUCCCUGGGAAGUGGAAUCUGGGAACUGAAAAGAGAAGAGAUCACCCUGUUGAAGGAGCUGGGAAGUGGCCAGUUUGGUGUGGUCCAGCUGGGCAAGUGGAAGGGACAGUAUGACGUUGCCGUUAAGAUGAUCAAGGAGGGCUCCAUGUCAGAAGAUGAAUUCUUUCAGGAGGCCCAGACCAUGAUGAAACUCAACCAUCCCAAGCUGGUUAAAUUCUAUGGAGUGUGUUCAAAGAAAUAUCCCAUAUACAUAGUGACUGAAUAUAUAACUAACGGCUGUUUGCUCAAUUAUCUGAAGAGUCAUGGAAAAGGACUAGAACCCUCCCAGCUCUUAGAAAUGUGCUAUGAUGUCUGUGAAGGCAUGGCUUUCUUGGAGAGUCACCAAUUCAUACACCGGGACUUGGCUGCUCGGAACUGCCUGGUGGACAGUGACCUGUCUGUAAAAGUCUCUGAUUUUGGAAUGACAAGGUAUGUUCUUGAUGACCAGUAUGUGAGCUCAGUAGGAACAAAGUUUCCAGUCAAGUGGUCAGCCCCAGAGGUGUUUCACUACUUCAAAUACAGCAGCAAGUCAGACGUAUGGGCAUUCGGGAUCCUGAUGUGGGAGGUGUUCAGCCUGGGGAAGCAGCCCUAUGACUUGUAUGACAACUCCCAGGUGGUUGUGAAGGUCUCCCAGGGCCAUAGGCUCUACCAGCCACAACUGGCGUCGGACACCAUCUACCAGAUCAUGUACAGCUGCUGGCACGAGCUUCCAGAAAAGCGACCCACAUUUCAGCAACUCCUAUCUUCCAUUGAACCACUUCGGGAAAAAGACAAGCCUUGAAGAAGAAAUUAGAAGUGCUGAUGAGAAUGAAUUGCUGAGAAUCAAACCCAGUGCCUUACACAUACCAGGAAGAGAAGGAACAAGUGACACAAUCCUUCCUUCUCUAUGAGCCUGCAGACCAGUGGGAACCUGCAUCACAGACCGUUAAUCUUUGUUUUUGGUGUCCCUCUUGAUUGUUUUCCUUUAUUGUCCUUAUUUUUGUCUAUUUGAUCUUUUAAAAAAUAAUCUGCUUUAUAACAAAAGUAGUACAUGCUUGUUGCAAAAUUCAAACAAUACAGAAUUGUUUACUAUGAAAAGAGAAUAAAGCUUUGCUUAGAAACCUGACUCCUGAAACCAAGUUAAGCAAGAAUUUAAGGUACCACUAGAGGCUUACCAGAAAAUAAGUCCAAGAGGAGCAAAACAAACAAACAAACAAACAAACAAAAAAAC